UGACAGGUGGCUCAGAGGGUAAAGCGUCUGCCUGCAAUGCAGGAGACCUGGGUUCGAUCCCUGGGUCAG
rnacentral:tRNA from 1 species